UGUACUCUUUCAUCUGACUUAUUUAACUGUAACCCCUCUGUACAUCACCUUUAUAAUAACUUGAAAUGAUUCAUGAAAAAAAAAACCACCUAAAAGUAAGCUUGCUACCAAACCAAGAAAAGCGCAUUAUGAGCUAGGCAUUGGCGGCCCAAGCCUGUAAUCCUAGCUACUUAGGAAAGCAAUUUGAGGAUA